rfam:Cajanus cajan Scaffold000172_12, whole genome shotgun sequence.
AAAUCCAAGUUGGAGUUCCCUUUACUCCAAUUCUAAAAGGAUAUGAUGGUAAAUCUCUGCUGCUAGUUCAUGGAUACCUAUGAUUUUGUAAUAACAUGUGUUCAAAGUCAAGGGUUUACAUGAAUUGGGAGAUGAAUUUACUCUGAUCUUUUAGUAUUGGAGUGAAGGAAGCUCCAGAGAGAUUUCUC